UACCAGCACCCCGAGUGGUCGGGACGUUUAUUGGGCCUAAAGCAUCCGUAGCCGGUUCUACAAGUCUACCGUUAAAUCCACCUGCUUAACAGAUGGGCUGCGGAAGAUACUAUAGAGCUAGGAGGCGGGAGAGGCAAGCGGUACUCGAUGGGUAGGGGUAAAAUCCGUUGAUCCAUUGAAGACCACCAGUGGCGAAGGCGGCUUGCCAGAACGCGCUCGACGGUGAGGGAUGAAAGCUGGGGGAGCAAACCGG
rnacentral:rRNA from 1 species